GGAAUAUUGGACAAUGGGGGCAACCCUGAUCCAGCAAUACCGCGUGUGUGAAGAAGGCCUUCGGGUUGUAAAGCACUUUCAGUUGGGAGGAAGGCUUCUAUUCGAAUAGGAUAGGAGAUUGACGUUACCGACAGAAGAAGCACCGGCUAACUCUGUGCCAGCAGCCGCGGUAAUACAGAGGGUGCAAGCGUUAAUCGGAAUUACUGGGCGUAAAGGGCGCGUAGGUUGCUAGUUUAGUCAGAUGUGAAAUGUCCGGGCUUAACCUGGACCUGCCAUCUGAUACUGGCUAGCUAGAGUACAGUAGAGGGAAGUGGAAUUUCCGGUGUAGCGGUGAAAUGCGUAGAUAUCGGAAGGAACAUCAGUGGCGAAGGCGACUUCCUGGACUGAUACUGACACUGAGGCGCGAAAGCGUGGGUAGCA
rnacentral:rRNA from 1 species